rnacentral:rRNA from 1 species
UAGACCUGAGGUCAGGCAAGACCACCCGCUGAACUUAAGCAUAUCAAUAACCGGAG